rnacentral:rRNA from 1 species
GCAAGUCGAACGGUAGAGGGGGCAACCCCUUGAGAGUGGCGAACGGGUGAGUAAUAUAUCGGAACGUGCCCAGUCGUGGGGGAUAACGUAGUGAAAAUUACGCUAAUACCGCAUACGAUCUAUGGAUGAAAGCGGGGGAUCGCAAGACCUCGCGCGAUUGGAGCGGCCGAUAUCAGAUUAGGUAGUUGGUGAGGUAAAGGCUCACCAAGCCGACGAUCUGUAGCUGGUCUGAGAGGACGACCAGCCACACUGGAACUGAGACACGGUCCAGACUCCUACGGGAGGCAGCAGUGGGGAAUUUUGGACAAUGGACGCAAGUCUGAUCCAGCCAUUCCGCGUGCAGGACGAAGACCUUCGGGUUGUAAACUGCUUUUGUACAGAACGAAAAGGUCUCUAUUAAUACUAGGUGCUCAUGACGGUACUGUAAGAAUAAGCACCGGCUAACUACGUGCCAGCAGCCGCGGUAAUACGUAGGGUGCAAGCGUUAAUCGGAAUUACUGGGCGUAAAGCGUGCGCAGGCGGUUAUAUAAGACAGAUGUGAAAUCCCCGGGCUCAACCUGGGAACUGCAUUUGUGACUGUAUAGCUGGAGUGCGGCAGAGGGGGAUGGAAUUCCGCGUGUAGCAGUGAAAUGCGUAGAUAUGCGGAGGAACACCGAUGGCGAAGGCAAUCCCCUGGGCCUGCACUGACGCUCAUGCACGAAAGCGUGGGGAGCAAACAGGAUUAGAUACCCUGGUAGUCCACGCCCUAAACGAUGUCAACUGGUUGUUGGGUCUUCACUGACUCAGUAACGAAGCUAACGCGUGAAGUUGACCGCCUGGGGAGUACGGCCGCAAGGUUGAAACUCAAAAGAAUUGACGGGGACCCGCACAAGCGGUGGAUGAUGUGGUUUAAUUCGAUGCAACGCGAAAAACCUUACCCACCUUUGACAUGUA